AUUGAACGCUGGCGGCAUGCUUUACACAUGCAAGUCGAACGGCAGCGCGGGCUUCGGCCUGGCGGCGAGUGGCGAACGGGUGAGUAAUACAUCGGAACGUGCCCAGUAGUGGGGGAUAGCUCGGCGAAAGCCGGAUUAAUACCGCAUACGACCUGAGGGUGAAAGCGGGGGAUCUUCGGACCUCGCGCUCUUGGAGCGGCCGAUGGCGGAUUAGCUAGUUGGUGGGGUAAAGGCCUACCAAGGCGACGAUCUGUAGCUGGUCUGAGAGGACGACCAGCCACACUGGGACUGAGACACGGCCCAGACUCCUACGGGAGGCAGCAGUGGGGAAUGUUGGACAAUGGGCGAAAGCCUGAUCCAGCAAUGCCGCGUGUGUGAUGAAGGCCUUCGGGUUGUAAAGCACUUUUGGCGGGAACGAAAAGGACUGUGCCAAUACCACGGUUCGAUGACGGUACCCGCAGAAUAAGCACCGGCUAACUACGUG
rnacentral:rRNA from 1 species